rnacentral:tRNA from 1 species
GAAAAACUUAGUUAAUGAAUAACACUAGAAUGUCAACCUAGAAUUAAUAAUAAUAUUAGUUUUU